UGGCUGUAGGGGCGCUCGUGGCAGGGAGGGGCGGGGCGGACGCGGAACCGAUGUUAGUCUCGCGCGGCGGUCGCGAGCGCGUGAGGGAGCCUGUUCCU
rnacentral:pre_miRNA from 1 species